rnacentral:rRNA from 1 species
AGGGGAGCCGGAGGGAAACCGAGUCUUAACCGGGCGUUAAGUUGCAGGGUAUAGACCCGAAACCCGGUGAUCUAGCCAUGGGCAGGUUGAAGGUUGGGUAACACUAACUGGAGGACCGAACCGACUAAUGUUGAAAAAUUAGCGGAUGACCUGUGGCUGGGGGUGAAAGGCCAAUCAAACCGGGAGAUAGCUGGUUCUCCCCGAAAGCUAUUUAGGUAGCGCCUCGUGAAUUCAUCUCCGGGGGUAGAGCACUGUUUCGGCUAGGGGGCCAUCCCGGCUUACCAACCCGAUGCAAACUGCGAAUACCGGAGAAUGUUAUCACGGGAGACACACGGCGGGUGCUAACGUCCGUCGUGAAGAGGGAAACAACCCAGACCGCCAGCUAAGGUCCCAAAGUCAUGGUUAAGUGGGAAACGAUGUGGGAAGGCCCAGACAGCCAGGAUGUUGGCUUAGAAGCAGCCAUCAUUUAAAGAAAGCGUAAUAGCUCACUGGUCGAGUCGGCCUGCGCGGAAGAUGUAACGGGGCUAAACCAUGCACCGAAGCUGCGGCAGCGACGCUGAUGCGUUGUUGGGUA